GGAUAUUUUUCCUAGAUCGUCCUUGUAGUGGUGAGCUUUGAAGAUUUGAAUUUUAAUUGCUUUAAAUGACUACUCAAAAGAAGCACAAAUGCACAAACAAGGACAGAAACCCUGAGAGUGACUAGCUCAGCAAACAAUGAAGCUUUGGAAGAUUUUUACCCUGGAUCUGCUGACAGGUCCUAAAGAGGAUAGCUUCUGUCUGGUUUCUAUCUCUUGGAUCCCUUACUUGAGGCAUAGCCAGCUGCUUUGUCAUGAGGAUGCUCAAGCAGUCCCUGGGAGAGGCCCAUGUGGGGAGGAACUGAGGUCUCUCACCAACAGCCAUUACCGAUGUCACUUUGGAAACGGAUUCUCCAGCCCAUCCAAGCCUUCAGAUGACUGCAGCCCCUGCUGACAUCUUGACUGCAACCUCAUAAGAGAUCCUGAGCCAGAACCACUCAGGAAACAGACUGAGAAAACUCGUCGACUGCAAACUUGAGCUGUUUUGCAAGUGAAAAUAAGAAUAACUCAGAAGCCAGAAUCAAGAGUCC
ensembl:lncRNA